UUUUUUUCUUUUUGUUUAAUCUCAGAGAAACACUGUAAAGUUUGUACGGUGUAGUUUUGAUAAGUAUGUCCAAAAAGUCAUGCUUUUAAAAGGAAUAAUUUAGUAACAAUCUAAUUUUUGUUUUCAAGAAAUGUUUUUGUAGUGUUUAAUGCUAUUGAAAUACAUUUUCUGGAUUCAGAAAAGUUUCUUCUUGCUUAGACUAGGAUGCCUCUGUUCACUCAUCUAAGAACGUCUUCCAAACUGUCCUUUGUACCAAAUAUUUAAAGUGUAAUGUAAAAUUUUGCACUGUGGAGAAAAUGCUAUUUUGCUAUAUCUCUUGUGAAUAAUUUUUGGUGUCUGCAUGGUUUCUGGGGUACAUUUUAACAGAUGACUUUGGUUUGUAUUUGUUGUGCGGGAUACUAGGAAAGGUAACUUAGCUUUAGCUAAUUUUUAAAAUGUGGAUCUCCACCUCAGUGUUAUGUCAGUGUGUGAGCGUUCUUAAAUCAUGUUAAUUUAAAACCUGCUUAAGCUGUCUCUCUACCUUCUAAUUGUACCUGUGAUGAGUUUUUGUAUAUUAUUCUUUGGAUAAUAAAUUAUAAAAAUUAUAUCUGACAUCAUGACUUUGAAUAAAACUAGUUUCCUGUACUAUUAAUUGAAUUCGUUCUGUGCAUAGUAUUUGCGAGCGAUUCUGAUGGGAUAGUUAAUAGCUUUAUUGUACAUUCUUUGUGUAUGAAGUGUCCUUUUAGUUAUAUUACUUGACUAUAGCUACAUCAGACAACAAUCGGUUCUGGGAUAAAAUUCACACAUUAAAUUUGUAUGUUUAAAAACCAUUAAUUUUCACUUAAAUAGACUUAAAAUGAUUUUGGUUUCUGAUAUGUUGGUGAUAUUUCCCGUUCAAGAGGCUAUAUGACAUAAAUGGUUUUGAAUGCUUUGAUAUAAAUGUGUAUUAUUCUGUAUGUUUUUUAGAGGUACCAAUCUUGGGAAAAAGAAGCAACACAUUUGUCAUAUACCAGGAUGUGGUAAAGUCUAUGGGAAAACCUCACAUCUGAGAGCACAUCUCCGUUGGCAUUCUGGGGAGCGCCCUUUUAUUUGUAACUGGAUGUUCUGUGGUAAAAGAUUUACACGGAGUGAUGAAUUACAGAGGCACAGAAGAACACAUACAGGUGAGAAGAAAUUUGUUUGUCCAGAAUGUUCAAAACGCUUUAUGAGAAGUGACCACCUUGCCAAACAUAUUAAAACACAUCAGAAUAAAAAAGUCAUUCACUCUAGCAGCACAGUGCUAGCAUCUGUGGAAGCUGGGAGAGAUGAUGCCUUGAUUACUGCAGGAGGAACAACACUUAUCCUUGCAAAUAUUCAACAGGGGUCUGUGUCAGGGAUAGGAACUGUCAAUGCUUCUGCCACCAGCAAUCAAGACAUCCUUACCAACACUGAAAUACCUUUACAGCUUGUCACAGUUUCUGGAAAUGAGACAAUGGAGUAA
rnacentral:lncRNA from 1 species